UCGGGAAUUUUGCGCAAUGGACGAAAGUCUGACGCAGCAACGCCGCGUGAGGGAUGACGGCCUUCGGGUUGUAAACCUCUUUUGUCAGGGAAGAUGAUGACGGUACCUGACGAAUAAGUCACGGCUAACUACGUGCCAGCAGCCGCGGUAAUACGUAGGUGACAAGCGUUGUCCGGAUUUACUGGGCGUAAAGAGCGCGCAGGCGGUCGUUCAAGUCGAGUGUGAAAGCCCCCGGCUCAACUGGGGAGGGUCAUUCGAUACUGAUCGACUCGAAGGCAGGAGAGGGUAGUGGAAUUCCCGGUGUAGUGGUGAAAUGCGUAGAUAUCGGGAGGAACACCAGUGGCGAAGGCGACUACCUGGCCUGUUCUUGACGCUGAGGCGCGAAAGCUAGGGGAGCAAACGGG
rnacentral:rRNA from 1 species